GCCUCCUUAGCUCAGUGGUUAGAGCACUGGUAUUGUAAACCAGGGGUAAUGAGUUCGAAUCUCAUAGGGGGCU
rnacentral:tRNA from 1 species